rnacentral:misc_RNA from 1 species
UACGGAGGGAGCUAGCGUUGUUCGGAAUUACUGGGCGUAAAGCGCACGUAGGCGGCUACUCAAGUCGGGGGUGAAAGCCCGGGGCUCAACCCCGGAAUAGCCCUCGAAACUAGGUAGCUAGAAUCUUGGAGAGGCGAGUGGAAUUCUGAGUGUAGAGGUGAAAUUCGUAGAUAUUCGGAAGAACACCAGGGGCGAAGGCGACUCGCUGGACAAGUAUUGACGCUGAGGUGCGAAAGCGUGGGGAGCAAACAGG